rnacentral:rRNA from 1 species
AACGAACGCUGGCGGCGUGCCUAACACAUGCAAGUCGAGCGAGAAAGGGAGCAAUCCUGAGUAAAGCGGCGAACGGGUGAGUAACACGUAGGUAAUCUACCUUUGAGAUUGGGACAACCUGUCGAAAGAUGGGCUAAUACCGAAUAUGACCACGUUUCUUUGAAAUGAGGUAAAAGAUGGCCUCUACUUGUAAGCUAUCACUUAAAGAUGAGCCUGCGCAACAUUAGCUAGUUGGUAGGGUAAUGGCCUACCAAGGCAACGAUGUUUAGCUGAUCUGAGAGGAUGAUCAGCCACACUGGAACUGAAACACGGUCCAGACUCCUACGGGUGGCAG